UGGCCGAAAAAUAAAAAAACUUGCUUUUUUGGGGUUUUUUCGGCUUCCCUAGUUUAAAGGUAUCAUCUUUCAUCAGAGAUGAUAGACCUAGGCCACUCACUGCGGCAGAAUACGAGGAGUCAGUAAAGAAACUAUGGAGCAGAACAACAAAAGAUUCUACUUCAGAAGAUCAGUUGAUUAUAAAAAAAUGCUUGAACACCGAGGUCGAGACUCUCGGAAACAUAAGGCAUAAAAACAGGGUCAAACUAUAUAGCUACUUUUCGAACUUCGAUUGCCAUGUAUUGGUUUACGACUACAUGCCGAAUGGAAACCUUUGGGAUGCUCUUCAUAAAGGAUGGUUCCAUUUAGAUUGGCCAAACCGACAUCAAAUCGCACUUGGGGUUGCACAAGGCUUAGCAUACCUUCACCAUGGUCUAUUACCACCUAUCAUUCAUAGAGACAUCAAAUCAACCAACAUCCUACUUGAUAUCAAUUACCAACCCAAAGUUGCCGAUUUCGGAAUAGCCAAAGUAUUGCUCUACAAUCAUAGCAGGCACAUAUGGUUACUUAGCCCCUGAAUAUGCAUAUUCGAAUAAAGCGACAACGAAGUGCGAUGUUUAUAGUUUCGGGGUGGUGUUGAUGGAACUAAUAACAGGGAAGAAACCAGUGGAUGCCGAUUUCGGAGAGUAUAAGAACAUUGUAUAUUGGGUUACAACAAAGCUGGAUACAAAGGAAGGGGUAAUGGAGGUCAUAGACAAGAACUUGUUGGGGUCAUUUAAGGAUGAUAUGAUUCAAGUUCUUAGAAUUGCAAUGUGUUGUACAUGUAAGACUACAUCUUGACAUCCGACAAUGAAUGAGGUUGUUCAAUUGUUGAUUUAGACAGACCCUUGCUUAAUAGAUCCUUACAAGUUUUCAACAAAGACCAGAGAAGCAUCAAAUGUCACAGAGAACCAAUCAGAAGAGGUAGAAUCAUAACAACUUAAAGCUUUUUCUCUUUUGAUUAAAUUUUGCUGAUUAGUGGCUUGUAGAUUCUCUCUUUCCGUUUUCUUCUCUUGUAAGGACCUAAGGAAUUUAAAUCACUAUAAACUGCUUUAUGGCAACACACAGCAUGUAUAUGAAAUCAUUGCAUAGCUUCCAA